AGCUUUUCGCAGUGGCAGUAUCAUAACCAAUGAGGUUUAUCCAAGGUGCGAUUAUUGCUAAUUGAAAACUUCUCCCAAUACCCCGCUGUGACAACUUGCAAUACAGUCGGCACUGGCAAUUUUUGACAUCUCUACAGAG
rnacentral:snRNA from 1 species